rnacentral:lncRNA from 1 species
AUGGAACUCACUGCCAGUGACAAGGUCCUUUCCUGCUGCUUGUCCCUGCUGUGCCUGCUGUCUGUCUGUCUGUCUGACUAGAAGGAUAGAAGAGGCUGCUUCUCUUUGUAACAUUUACAAGGUUGACAGGUCAGAGUCUGGACAACAGAGUCAAGAAGUUCAAGGCCUACUCAACAGACAGCCUCUUUUUGUCUACAAGGAUAACAAGUGUCAUACCAUUGGUGCUCAUAGGAACAGCAUGAAUGUUACAAAGAUCUGUGAAAAAGAGGUUGACACUCUGAAAGAUGGAAUUGACAACUUCAAAGGUCUGCUGCUUCACAUAUUGCAGGAGACUAACACAAUCAGAAAGCCCUUCACUCUGCAGGCUGGGAUGUGUUGCCAUUAUGGAGACAAAUGUUUCAGGGGAUCCUGUGUUGCUAGCCUCAAUGGAAAGAAAAUGUUCUAUGUUGACACAAGCACUGGCAACUGGACUCAAUUGGAUCCUAAAUUGAAGAAGAGUAUAGAAAUAUGGAAGGAAGACAGGGCUUGAUUUGCCUUCUUAGAGAAGACUACAGAGGGCGACUGCAGGACCUGGCUUGAUGAGCUCAUGUUGCACUGGAAAGAACAUCUGGAGCCUGCAGGUCCUCCUAGUACCUUGGUGAUUACUCUAUGCAUAAUAGCAACAAUCGUCUUUAUUGGAUUGAUCAUCUCAGGUGUCCAUUGUUAUGUAUCAAGAUACUCACCUGCAAAAAGGAUAGCUACUUCACCACAAUCCAGUGUAUGUGGAACUAUGAUUCAAUGUCUCUGUCCUCUGAAGUUGAAGUCACCUGUGUUUAUGCAGAUUGAUCUGCAGUCCUCAGCACCACCUCUGUUGGAUGACUCUUUGACAGUGCCUGAGACGUGUUCAGUAAAGAAAGAAGAUGAAUUUCUAACAGCAUCUCAAAAUUCUGUGCUGUUGACUUCUGACCAAACUGGUGGGAACCCAUGA